rnacentral:lncRNA from 1 species
GUGCAAAGCCCAGGCACAGGGUUCAGACUCCAUCUUCUGUGUUCUUCUUAAUUGACAAACUGCAAUGGCUGUCUUCAGAGUCUUGGUUUUCUAUGGUGGUCAACUCCUGAGUUCUUAUGAUGUCGCUGGGCACAGAAAAAAUAAACGGAGAAGAUCCCAGUGAUACGGAGACUUGGAUGAUUCAGAUGGAAAAAGCAUGAGUUGCCAGCAUUAAGCUGCACGUGAUUUCUGGGCAGUUCACCAGGCGCUACCCGUUUUUGAAUCCUUUUGAGGUUCUGUGACCCAGAUGGCCUUGCUUCUUGUCUCCUGUGCUGCAGUUUCACCCCUCUGGAGACUACAACUCAGGAGCAGCUGGAUGAGAUGGAAGAGAUCCCCAGAGAGAGCCAGUGUGGGAGGCAGGACUUCCAUGCCCUCUCCUGUCCCACCGCCUCCCCAAGAGACAGAGUCUUGCUCUGUUGUCCAGGCUGGAGAGCAAUGGUGCCAUCAUAGCUCACUGCAGCCUUGACCGCCUGGGCUCAAGCGAUCCUCCCACCUCAGCCUCCUGAGUAGCUGGGACUACAGGUGUGCACAACCACACUCGGCCAAUUAUUUAUUUAUUGUCCGUCUCUCCAGUGAAAUGGUCCUGAAAAUUAGGAUGCUCAUGACCUUGGCCUUGCAGUUUGGGUGGGUGCACCUCCUGUCCUGGUGCUGACAUCUGGAUGAUUUAUGAACAUCAUUACCCUUUCACUGGACUCUUACUCUUCGGAGUCUUCAGAGCUGCCUGGGCCUAGCGCCCAAGAAGUUUGCUCCUUGCAUCAAUGGCGAUGCUAGACAUAUUCUACUGGCUGUGGCCCAAAGGCUGGAGGUGGAACUGUAAGAGCAGAGAGGAGGAGAAGGCUCACCAUGAAGACAAAAGAAGUCCUGAGCCUUGGAUUUUCUUCCUCUAGGGCUUUGUGGACCCACAGAUUGGUAGAAGUUCUGUGAGGGCUGACUUCUCCCCAUCUGUCCCAGAUGGAUCCCUUAAGGCUCAGGACACCUCAGAGGACUGGUGCAUGGGCUGCAGCCAGCCUGACCCAGCUCUAUAAAGAAGCUCACCCUUUACAGAUGCCCCAGAGAGGCCCCCAUCCUGCCCUGCAGCCAGCUUCCUGGGCAAGUGGGAUCAGGCACUCGGGGUCUCCCUCCUCCAGGGUUUCCUGAAACAGGAUGCAUUCAGCCCUUGUAGAGUUGCUGGGGAAGUGGAAGGAAAACAGAGGUGACUCUUGAAGCCCCAGGAGCUGACCUUAGAUCUUGACACUCCUGGUGUGUGCAAAGGUCUGAGGAGACGGCCAGAUUGAGGUAAAGCAGUAAAAAUCCGUGCUUGUCAGGAAAGUAGCAAGAGCCGAGUUCUACACUAACCAUUGGCUGGCCUGGGGCAGCCUGCAGCUGCACAACUGCCUCGUACAAUGGCAUGGACAAGCAGUGUCGGUGACGUAGCAGGCCGCUGGGGACCUGGGAGACAUCCUGCUGCUGCAGGAGUCCUGUGCAGAGCAGAGGAGAGAGCAGUUUGGCAAGUGCAGGGGUCCCACUCUUCUUUUGGUUGGUGGCAGGGAGCAGGUGGGGCCUAACCUGGGUGGACAGUGUCUACCUCCCUUCUGUGCAUUUUGCAUUGGCCUUAAUUGGUUCUCCCGGGAUAGUCACGAAAGCCCGACCUUUGUUCCAGGUAAAGUGCUGCAUGUUUCAUGUGUACAGCUCAUUUAAUCUUCACAGGACCUUAUGAAGUAGUUAUUAUAUCUAUUAUCAUCACAGAAAAGAACACUGAGCCUCAGAGAGGUCAAGCAAUUGGCCCAAGAUCACACAGCCUGCAAGAAACAGAGAUGGGACUCAGACCCUGGUCUAUUUGGCUCCCAUGUGCCUUACUACUAUGUUAUACCCACCCCUCCAGUCUCCUUCUAGGUCACCAGCUGGGAUGGGAGGCCAACUCUCCAAAUCAGAAGAGUUUUUCUGGGUCAGGAAUUUGAGCAGGACUUGCCUACGUGAUUUUGGCUUGAGGACUCUCACAUGGUGGUAAUAGAUGGAAGUUGAAACUGGAGCAGAGGAGCAGAAGUGGCUGGAGUGGCAGGAACUGGCCAGGCAUCUCUUCCUCUCUGGAUAUAUAGACACUGGGCCUCUUCAUCGGGUCUUUCUGCAGGGCUGGUUGUGCUUCCUCACUGCAUGGUGGCUCAGGGCAGUCAGACCACCUGCGUGGUGGCUCAGCACUCCAGCACAGUGUCCCAUCACUCAAGGUAGAAGCUGCAUUGUCCUCUAGGGCUUAGCCUCUGAAGCCAUGCAGCGUCACUUCCUGAGCUUCCUUGUAACCACUUCCUGUUGGUUAUAAGUGAGGCACAAGCCCAUCCAAAUUCAAAGGAAGAAGAGUUAGACUCCAUCACUUAAUAGGAACGUGGCAAGAUUCUAGAAGAGCAAAUGGGAUAAGAAUUAUUGUUGCAUUCAUCUUAGAAAAAUACAAUCCGCUACAAAGCCCCCUCAUGGAGCACCCAGAUCUGAGAAGGGGGUGCUUUCCACUAAAGUCUCUGCCUCCAUUUUCCACUUCCUCUGCUUCCUUCUCCUUCUUGUGUUCUCCAUGAGCAUUAAACCAAAAUAAACAGUUCUGAGUACCCCUUUUAAUCAAGAUGUGUGAAAAAAUGUGGAAGCUCAUCCUUGGAAGAAUAAUAAUAGAAACUAGCUUUAUUUAUCCUGGGUAAGAGACGUAAGAGGAGAUGAUGGGAUCACUAUCCCAGCACAUGUGAAAGACGGGAACAGGCUUGUCCUGGGCUGCUCCAGAGGGUGGGUGGUACAGGAUUUUUCACAGUCCUGGAGAAACUCAGAGGCUUCCUUGGCUGACCACUUUUUUUUUUCUCUUUUUCAGCUUUAUUGAAAAACAAAUGACAAAUAAAAGUUGUAUAUAUUCAAGGUAUACAAUGUGAUGCUUUGAUACAUUGUGAAAUGAUGACCUCAGUCAAGCUAAUUAAGAUAUCCAUCACUUCCUGGAGGUACCUUUGUGUCUAUAUGUGGUGAGAAUACUUACAACCUACUCUCUGAAAAUUUGAAACAUACAACCCAUUGUUAUUAACUACAGUCACCUGAUGGAUAAGAGAGCUCUUGGCUAGUAUAAAUAGAGCAAGUAUUUUCCAUAAAAAUAUGGAAAAUAAGCAAGUGUUUUCCAUAAAUAGAGCAAGUAUUUUCCAUAAAAUAUCACUAAAAAUAUGCAGGAAAGGCCUGAAUUAGUUCAUAUGGCAGAUAUUGGUAUAAUCUUUUGGUUUUCAGGAUUUUUUGAAGUCUAAAGUGGGCAUGCUUACAAUAAAUUAAUUUAAAAGUGGUAUCAGUUUUAUAUGUUCUGCAUACAAUUUUCUUUUUAAGAGUACCCUGUGGGUUAAAAUAUAUUUACAGAGCAACCUCUCCUAACAAAAGAAAAUUUCAGACCAUUAGGCUUGGUCAGAUAAAUGAAUGUUAGAGGGGCAAAAUCAGGUGUAGCAAAGAUUAGUCCAUUGCAGAAAGAAACUAGGACUGUGCCUCUCCAAAUAGGAGAGUACCAAAGAGGGUACACCCCUGUACCCCAGGGGUGUCUAGUAGUGUGCCUUUGGGUCCUAGAAGAUGUAGAAUAAGUAUGGUACAUCAUCACAACAAGUAAUUUAGGACUGUUUUGCAAUAAAACAAUCAAUAUUUAUUAUGCAGUUGAUGCAAUACUCACAUAUAUUUUAAAUUAGAUGCUCUAUGAGAAUUUUCCAGUUGCUAAUAGCUAGGCAGGUGACCCUCCUACAUUCCCCUAGGAUACUGUGUAGACAAGUUUGUAUUGACAAAAAUAAGAAUGUAGACUGAAGAGCAAAACUGUUGGGUUCAAAUCCUGGCUCUGUGACUUACUAGUUAUAUAACCCUGGGCAACUUAACCUGUUCAUGCCUUAGUUUCCUCAUCUCUGAAAUGGAGAUAUUAAUAAUAAUAAUAUUCACCUCAUGGGGUGAUUGAAAGAACAAAAUGAGUUAAUUUUAGUGUUUAAAGGAGUGCCUUGCGUGUGGCAAGUACCAUGCAGAUGCUCAUUAAAUAAAAGCUUGAGAACUAUGAAUGAGCCUCUCCGAGAAGGUCAAGAAUGGGCACAUAGUCUGGGUGAUCAUGAGCAGAGGCUGGAAGUGAUGCAUUCUGUUGAAGGAAUUGUUCAUGGGGUGGCCACUCCUUCAAAAGGAAUUAUAAAAAUCUAAGACUUGAAGCUGAGAUCCCCCACCUGCUGGGUGGUGUUUGAUGGUCUAAACUGGGGGUUUGCAAACUCUUUCAGCAAAGGGCCAAGUAGUAUAUCCUUUAGAAUUGUGGGUCAUCCAGUCUUUGUCACAUUUGUUCAACUCUGCCAUUGUAGUGUGAAAGUAGCCAUGGAUGAUAUAUACCUGAAUUAAAUGGACUGUUGUGCUGGGCUGGGGCCACAGUCCAUAGUUUGCUGCUGCUUGUCUAGAUCCUGCGGGGCCUGAGCAAGUGAGCUGGAAAUAAGGUGGCUGUUGAGGGGGCUGAGGAGCAACAGGAAGUGAGAAGGGAAGGGAGAUGGGUGCAGCACCACUACAAUGCCACUUCCUUCCUGGGGUGAACUCACUUAGACUUUGAAUAGGUUCUCUGCAGAGAUGACUGAGACACUUGGAGCCAUGCGCCUGCAGAGACACAGUGGGGGACCAUGUUAGAAAUGGGAGUAACAAGUCAUUCAUUCUUACUAUAUGUUUCGUUAUUGCAUGGCAAAGGCUUUGAAAAGAAAGCUGAGUCUUUUAUUUUCCUGUGAAUCAGCUCCGAGCCCCUGGAACAAUGUUGUUCAUUCUGCGGAUGCUCAGCAAGCCCUUGCUGACUGUCUUUAUUUCUUCACCUGCAAUAAGAUCCCCCCAGGCCCAUAUGGAAACGUAAAUGUUCUUGAGGGACUAAUUCAGUGAGACUCUUCCAGGGGAAGUUCAGUCCUCCUGGGAAGUGAUUACACACUGAUGGAAUUUUUGCACACUGGAUGGAAAGAUGAUCUUUGCCUCUUGGCUGUGUCACAGUAAUAAGUGGGAGACUGAUUAUUUCUAAGAGUGCAGCUCUUCCCGGCACUGAUAAGAAUGGAAUGCAGCGCUACCAUGGAGAUUCGGGUCACUAAUUAGUCCCAGAAGCCUCUAGGCCUUGAAUCACUGUUAUAUUAAUUAUGCAUCAAAUUAGAAUGUUUGCAAAGGCUCAGAGCCAACUGUACUGCAGAACCCGGUGACAGCAUGGAGAGAUCAAGGAGUGUCCCGCCCAGCACACUGCAGGGACCAGCAGACAAAUCCACGCGGCCUGCCUGAGCGUGCAGUGACCCCGCCUGAUCUCUGAUACAGCUGUUCGCAACUCCUGCCAGAGAGCUUGUUAUCGGCACAGGGUGGACAAAAGAAGGAAAGGAAGAGAACGAUGGCUUCCCCUCAGUUCCAUAAUCUAAGCUCUACUGCGGUAAUAUCCAGCUGAGAAAAGACACAGGACAAUCAUUUGGGCACUUUAUUUCCAUGGUAACAAAUAGAAGAUUCUUCCAGAUGUUUGCUAACAUCGUGGAGGUAACAUGUCUGGACCGUUGUCUGAUAUUCAGUUUUUAUAGCUGGGGAGACAUGGCUUUAGCUUUGGGUAAACUAUUCUAUCUCUUCCUCCUCUUCCUCUGCCUCCUUCUCCUUCUUGUGUUCUCCAUGAGCAUAAAACCAAAAUAUACUUGAUGCUUUGUUGUAAAAUAAACAGAUGAUAAAUAGCAGUCUCUGUGACUGUUGGGUUAUAAUUCCAUCGAGGGCUGGGGUUGAAGUCAUAAACCACAAGAAGUGAAGCAUGACCCACAAAUAGCCUUCAGGAUGGAAUUACAGCCCCAUAAUUCAGAGUAGCCCUUUGAAAAAAUAAUUCCUAAACCUAGCUAUAAUUUGGGGAAAGAGCCACGACAGUGGUGACGUCUUCUCUAAUCAGUUCAUCAGUAGACAAAUUACUCCCCUUCGUUAUUCUGAUGAUAUUUAUUAACGUUGGGGUGAGCACCCAAUCUGUUUUCUAGGAGGUUACUGUUGAAACCAGGUAGCAGUCGCCCAAACAGAACCAAAGAAAGGGAAACUGGAGUCUCACAGUAAGAAAGUUCUCACCACAGAUGAAGGUCAAUGAGCAUGAGGUGAGAAGAGACAUUCAUUACUUUGGAACUGAUGAGAAAUAUUGAUUCCUGACCACAGGAGUAGUGGCCGAGUUUGUUUUGCGUGGAGUGUGGCAUAAAUUCCGUCCCUGUUCUGCAUCUUACUACUUCUCUAAAUGUCUUUGCUAUUUUCAAAACUGAUUCUGCUUGAUCUCAUAAUUCAUUAAAGCAAGUUGAUCUCAUGCACCCCAAGAGUUAUGAGAAGCUUUUUCAUGAUGGUUCUUGCAUGAUGAAAAUAAAUUCUCAUUUAUUACAGAGAAAAUAAACCGAACCCAACAAUUCUGUAGAAGGUGAAUGUUUAAAUGGCAGUUUCUUGUGAUCAUAAAUUAAACCAUCAAAAUCCCAUAAGGUUUCUCUGCAGCCUAGAUAUUAAAUAAAACAACAAACAUGCAAGGACUGGCAAGUGGUAAGGGCUUAAUACAUGGUCAUUCACUACCAUAAUUUGUACCAUAAAAUUCAGAAAUUCUUUACAUGCUUUGUGUGUUAUUAUCUACUUUGUCAAUGACGCUGAAGACAUGAGGAGAACAAGGGUCUCAUCUGACGCAUUAUGCCUUUCCACAUAGACAAUGUAGAAUAUUAUUUAAAACAGAGUCUACAGCAUGAAGAAAAUAGAAGCAACAGAAAACAACAAGCUAAUAUAUAAACUAUUAAGGCAAAAUGGACAAAGAAUAUGAUCAUUUAAAAGUCGAGCUUAUUGAGG